GGUAGCAUAAUCAUUUGUCUUUUAAUUGAAGACUAGAAUGAAUGGUUGGACGAGAAAUAAACUGUCUCUUUAAAAAAAUUUGAAUUUUACUUUUAAGUGAAAAGGCUUAAAUAAAUUUAAGGGACGAUAAGACCCUAUAAAUCUUUAUAUUUAUUUUUUUUUACAUUAAUUUAUAUAUAUAAUAAAUAAAAAUUAUAAAAAUAUUUUAUUGGGGCAAUAAAAAUAUAAUUUUUAACUGUUUUAUUUAAAUAACAAUAAAUAUUGAUCCUUAAUAAAGAUUAUAAGAUUAAGUUACUUUAGGGAUAACAGCGUAAUUUUUUUUAAGAGUCCAUAUCGAAAAAAAAGUUUACGACCUCGAUGUUGAAUUAAAAUUCCCUUAUGGUGCAGAAGUUAUAAAGGAAAGUCUGUUCGACUUUUAAUAUUUUACAUGAUUUGAGUUCAGACCGGCGUAAG
rnacentral:rRNA from 1 species